GGUUGUGGCUCAGUGGUAGAGCACUUGCCUAGCAUGCAUGAGACACGGGGUUCGAUCCCUAGCACCA
rnacentral:tRNA from 1 species